UUUUUAUAAUAUUUAUAUAAGGGUAAUAAACCUCACCAUCAUAUGUACCUUCCCUAGUCACGAUACCCACAUGUGGUGUUAGAUUUUCCGGUAUGUGGGCUUCCUUGGUUACUGAAUUUGGAAUGGAUGGAUACUUAGAAAACUGUAGAUAUGGUUUGGCUAUGUCCGAACUUGGGCAUCCUUGACAGGGUGUUACCGUAGACCUUUA
rnacentral:lncRNA from 1 species